CCUACGGGUGGCAGCCGUGGGGAAUAUUGGGCAAUGGAGGAAACUCUGACCCAGCAACGCCGCGUGAAUGAUGAAGGUCUUCGGAUUGUAAAGUUCUUUUCUAAGGGAAGAAGCAAGUGACGGUACCUUAGGAAUAAGCCUCGGCUAACUACGUGCCAGCAGCCGCGGUAAUACGUAGGAGGCAAGCGUUAUCCGGAAGGACUGGGCGUAAAGGGUGAGGAGGGGGUUUGACAAGUUGGUAGCGUAACUCCGGGGCUCAACCUCGGCACUACUACCAAAACUGUCGGACUUGAGUGCAGGAGGGGCAAAUGGAAGUCCUAGGGUAGCGGUGGAAGGCGUAGAUAGUAGGAGGAACACCAGUGGCGAAGGCGAUUUGCUGGACUGUAACUGACACUGAGGCACGAAAGCGUGGGGAGCAAACAGGAUUAGAGACCCUGGUAGUC
rnacentral:rRNA from 1 species